GUCGAACGAGAAAGCAGGGGCAACCCUGUGAGUACAGUGGCGUACGGGUGAGUAACACGUGGGUGAUCUACCCUUUAGUGGGGAAUAACGCUGGGAAACCGGCGCUAAUACCGCAUAAUCCUGAGAAGGGAAAGCAGCAAUGCGCUGAAGGAGGAGCCCGCGGCCGAUUAGCCAGUUGGUAGGGUAAUGGCCUACCAAAGCUAAGAUCGGUAGCCGGCCUGAGAGGGCACACGGCCACACUGGCACUGAAACACGGGCCAGACUCCUACGGGAGGCAGCAGUGGGGAAUCUUGCACAAUGGGGGAAACCCUGAUGCAGCGACGCCGCGUGAGCGAUGAAGCCCUUCGGGGUGUAAAGCUCUUUCGGCAGGGACGAUUAUGACGGUACCUGCAGAAGCAGCUGCGGCUAACUACGUGCCAGCAGCCGCGGUAAUACGUAGGCAGCGAGCGUUGUUCGGAGUUACUGGGCGUAAAGGGUGUGUAGGCGGUCCUCUAAGUUUGGUGUGAAAUCUCCCGGCUCAACCGGGAGGGUGCGCCGAAAACUGGAGGGCUAGAGUGCGGGAUGGGAGAGUAGAAUUCCUGGUGUAGCGGUGAAAUGCGUAGAUAUCAGGAGGAAUACCGGUGGGUGUAGACGGCUCUCUGGACCGCGACUGACGCUNAGACACGAAAGCGUGGGUAGCAAACAGGAUUAGAUACCCUGGUAGUCCACGCCCUAAACGAUGCAUAUUUGGUGUAGGUCAUUCAGUUGAUCUGUGCCGGAGCUAACGCGUUAAAUAUGCCGCCUGGGGAGUACAGUCGCAAGGCUGAAACUCAAAGGAAUUGA
rnacentral:rRNA from 1 species